rnacentral:rRNA from 1 species
CUGAAGUUCACCUAUGUGGUGGCUGGCUAGGAAGGGUCAUCACAUGAUGCUAACAUACUCAGUGACAGCAUCAGUCACCCUGAUGGCAUCAACAUCCCUGAUGGCAAGUUCUACCUAGGAGAUGCUGGCUAUGCAUGUCGCCCAGGUGUUCUUCCACCCAUAAGAAAAACCAGGUACCAUCUGAAUGAGUUCUCUGGUAGGAACUACCCUAGGACUCCACAGGAGCUGUUCAAUAUCAGACACUCCAGCCUCAGAGUAACGGCUGAGAGGGCAUUUGGAGCUCUCAAGAACAGGUUCAAGAUCCUGGAUCAGAAGCUAUUACAUCCUUACCCUACCUAG